rnacentral:lncRNA from 1 species
AAUGUUCUUUUGGGAUUACUUCUUCUCGUUGUUCAAUGUUCUGGUCUUUAUCUUCGGUGAUUUGUUCCUCGUCCUCUUCGUUAUUGCUCAUGUUGUUAAGGUUGAAGUCAAACAUGGUUGUUGUUUGAGUUUCAGGUGAGGUGGGUGGGUGGUGGUGGUAGAAUUGGGGUAGUGUGUUGUCAUGAGAAGGGGAUGAGGAGUCCAUCAUCAUAUAUUGUUGUUGCUUAGUCCACCACACUGUUUCGAAAGAAAUAUGAUUUAUGGACAUCUAGAAAUCAGUAGCUGGUUUUAAAGAUUUUUGCAAGUGAUAUAAAAACUUAGUAGAAAAGGUGGGUAUUUAAGGGAAGGGGUGGGGGUACCUGUGCCUGUGGGAACUAUUUGAAGUGGCAAGAAAUUUGAGAGAGAAGAUAGAGAUGCAAGUACGAGAGUACUUUACUUUAAGGUAUUUGCGUGAUGAGAAAAAUCAAUCAUUAUAUUCACUAUUCAGUGCAAUUUCUAUGUAGCUAGCAAGUACCGGGGGCAUC